GUAGGUGAACCUGUGAAAGGAUCAUUCAUAACAAGUAUUUUAUGGCGCUUUUUUAAAACCAUAUCCACCUUUUGUGCAAUGUCAGGUUGGUCUCUUUUUUUUUAAAAAAAAAAGAGGUCGGCCCAAGCAUCAACCGUAUCUUUUAACUCCUUUGUCUGAAAAAUAUUAUGAAAUAAACAAUUCAAAAUACAACUUUCAACAACGGAUCUCUUGGCUCUC
rnacentral:misc_RNA from 1 species